UUAUAAGACGAGAAGACCCCAUGGAGCUUCAAACCCCGCUACACCCCGAUCUCUAUAGCCCACUUAACCCACACGGACCCCUGUAUAGCUGGUUUUCGGUUGGGGCGACCACGGAGUACAACAAAACCUCCACAAUGAACGGGACUAAUCCCUCACCUAAGGCCCACACCCCUAAGAAUUAGAAUACUAACAUAAAGUGAUCCAUUAUUUGAUCAAUGAACCAAGUUACCCUGGGGAUAACAGCGCAAUCCACUUCAAGAGCCCCUAUCGACAAG
rnacentral:rRNA from 1 species